GUACCCGUAGCUCAGUGGAUAGAGCGACAGAUUGCGGAUCUGUAGGCCGUAGGUUCAAAUCCUAUCGGGUACACCA
rnacentral:tRNA from 1 species